UACGUAGGGGGCAAGCGUUGUCCGGAUUUAUUGGGCGUAAAGAGCGUGUAGGCGGCCAUACAGGUCAGCUGUGAAAACUCGAGGCUCAACCUCGAGACGUCGGUUGAAACCGUAUGGCUAGAGUCCGGAAGAGGAGAGUGGAAUUCCCGGUGUAGCGGUGAAAUGCGUAGAGAUCAUGAGGAAGACCAGUGGCGAAGGCGGGUCUCUGGACAGUUCCUGACACUGAGGCACGAAGGCCAGGGGAGCAAACGGG
rnacentral:rRNA from 1 species